CCCCACUCUCCCUCUCUCUGUCAUCUUUUUCCUCCAUUACCACCAUUAAAGUGAGCUUCAAGCUCCUUAGAUCCAUUUCAAGAGAGUAAUCCUUCUCUACUUCUUAAUCUAAACACUUUCUAUCUUCCUUAAUUCCAGAAAUCCUUGAGUUUAGUCUUGAAGCUAGAGAGAGAAAACUUUGUUCUUGGUAUAAUCUUGGGUAAGUGGCUUUGAUAUUCAUGAAAUUAGUGGUCUAUGAUGUUGUAUAUGAGUUUAUAUGGAUGAUUGAUGCAAGAAAACACCCCCUCACCCCUUUUAUAAAUUUUCGAAAAUUUAGGGUUAAACCCUUCAAAAAAAUUCUUUUUCUUUCCUUAAAUUGGGGUGAGAAAUGUGUUCUAUGUGAUGUUUGGUGAUGAUUGAUGUGUGUAUUGUGAGGAUAUGUCUUGUGAUGCAAAUUUUUGCAUAGUUUAGUUUGACUAAAAAUUGGGAGAUCAUUGAGUUUAUGGUUUGAAUAAUAAAUUGAUGAUGAGUAUGAGCUUAUGAGGUGAUUAACAUGAUAAUUGAUGGAUUGGAUUGAUGAUUGGAAGUGAUGGAUGGAAUUUUGGAAUGAGUUAGUUUGAUGAAAAUUAGGCAUAUGUGUCUCUAUGCUUUAAAUGGUUAAUUGAUGAUUUAUGUAUGUGAUUAAGUGGCCUAAAAUGAUAGACCUAAGGUUAGAGUAAUGUUUCAUUUGCAUUUGUGAAGUUUCGAAAAGUCUAGUUUAUCAAAAAUCGGAACUUUCAUGUCUUAUGUGCUUGGUUUAAGAAAAAUUUUUUGGGGCAGCUCUGGCUCCGAGCUGACUAUUCUGCUCUGCUCUGCCGAGUCAUUCUGCUCUGCUCUGUCUAAGUAUACUAUUUUCUGGGGCAGCUCUAGCCUCCGAGCUGACUAUUCUACUCUGCUUUGUCGAGCUAUUCUGCUCUGCCCUGUCGAGCUAUUCUACUCUGCUCUGUCGAGCUAUUCUGCUCUGCUCUGUCGAGUUAUUCUUCUCUGCUUUGCCGAGCUAUUCUGCUCUGGCGUUCGAGCUGAUUCUGCUCUUCUGUUGAACUCACAUUACUCUGGCUACCGAGUAAUCUCUGCUCUGGCCACCGAGCUGAGUCUAAUGAGUCAAAUGUUUGCUUGUAUGUUGAAUGUGGAGUCGUUUUGCAACUCUUUUGUACCUACUGUUUCGUGAAGUUAUUGUUACCCAAACACCAUGAAAAUUUUAUGAUAAGUAUAUAUGAGAAUCUUGACAUACUGGUAAAAUUUCAAGCCUUUUGGCAACGUUUACUAUUUUUCAAAAAUCAAAGUUUUCAAUUGCUCAAAACUGCCGAAUAUGGUAGGCUGUAAGAAAACAACCAUAUCUUUUGAAAUACUUGGAGUUUUGCAUCCUACUUUGUUUUAAAAGAAACUAGACUCAAAGAGGUUUCCAAUUAUAUGAGUUUCGACCCCAGUAGAGUUUUGGAGUGAAUUUGGUGAAGUCUUUAAUUUGUGAAAAUGCAGAAUGAUGUUAUUUGUGACAUGUCUAUAUGUGUGAACUUGUAUGCUUAUUGUGCUUAUGCAUGUCUAUGUGCUUGUUUGCUAUGAGUUUAAUCCGAGUUGAGUGUUAAGUUGAGAGUAGGACUUGCGAAUCCUUAGGAGUUAAGUAUACAUAGGGAUUGAGAUUUAUUUGGAUAAAUAGAAGAUGAGUGAAUAGUUAUAGCUUGAGACGAGAUUGGAUUUUAGUAAAUGAGUUUCUCACUGAGGUUUAUUUUAUCACAUGAACCUUCGAUGACGAUGAUGAAGAUAUAUGAAGGCCCGAGCGAGACGAAGAAGUAAGUCGCCUGUUUUCUUUCCAAGCUUGAGCGAAGGACUUCAGGUGGGCAAUAUUUUGAGUAUUCUUGUAUCAUAUGAGCUUUCUAAAAUGAUUUGAUGAUGAUGUGAGUUUAUCAAAUGUUUUGAGAUAAAUGAUGUUUAAAAACUGUUUGACUUGCCAAUUUUUUAUGUUGAGCCUGUAUGUUACCCUCUACUGAUGAGAUGAGACGAAUUCGGUCCUGCUACAAGCGGGAUUUUGUGCACAGAGGUGACUGUGAGCCGUCUUCGGGUCGGCCGGUCACGGUACUUGAGAGUGAGGCCUACUUCUCAGUACCUUUGAUAAUGAUGAGUUGUAGAUGUGGUGCAUACAUGUUGAGAUCUUUGACUGCAGUCGUUUCUUUAUGAUGUCAUGAUUAUUAAAACUGCUUACACAGGUUCAUUUACGCUAAAUUUAUUCCUGUGUAUUGCUAAGAUGUGGCAAGUUUCAAACUUAUAGCUCUAAGAGCAGCUUUUCUUGUUUUUCGGCGUUUGCCCGCUGAGUAUUAUAUACUCACGCCCUGCAUGUAUUUUUAAAUGUGCAGGUUAAGCGAUGGAGCGAGAUUGGACUGGUGUUGGCGGGGAUUAUUUUGUUGAUGAAUUUUCUUUGUUGCUUUCCUUUUCUUGAUAGAGUCCUAACGAUGAUACACUUUGCUUUCCUUUUGAAUGUUGAUAAAACCUUAAUGAUGAGAUACAUUGUUUUCUUUUUAAUCAAGCAAUUUACUCGCGAUUAUAUGUCUUCAUACAUAUGAUCGAUUCACCUUUUGCUGCGAGACUCUGAAUUUUAUGAUACCUUAUGAAUAUUGAGCUAGACCUCGUUUGUAUCUGUCUUCGAGAUUCA
rnacentral:lncRNA from 1 species